UACGGGGGGGGCAAGCGUUGUUCGGAAUUACUGGGCGUAAAGGGUUUGUAGGUGGCCCGCUAAGUCACACGUGAAAUCCCUCAGCUUAACUGGGGAACUGCGUCUGAUACUGGAUGGCUUGAGUUUGGGAGAGGGACGCGGAAUUCCAGGUGUAGCGGUGAAAUGCGUAGAUAUCAAGAGGAACACCUGAGGUGAAGACGGGUUGCUGGGCUGACACUGACGCUGAGGCGCGAAAGCCAGUGGAGCAAACGGG
rnacentral:rRNA from 1 species